rnacentral:lncRNA from 1 species
UCUCCGCCCUAGAUAGGUCAAAAGAUGACCUAUUUAUAGUUUUCAGAUUUCCUUCGAUCACCAUGGAAGUUGCCAUGCAAAGUAGAAUUCUAAAGGUAAUAGAAUCGUGUAAAAUAAGGCAACUCUCCAGCUGGAUGCGCGCUCUGGAAAACACUCCUACUCUUGCCGACUUCGCAGCUCUCGCCAGAGGAAUGGCUGUCGCCAGAGAAACGGACCUCGCCAGAGAAAUGGCUAUCGUCAGGGAAAUGGUGAUUUCUCUGCUCUGUCUUAUUUCUCUGCUCUGACAGUUGAGUCAGAGCUAACUUUUCUCCUCUGCUCUGACUUCACUUCUGACUUGGUUCCGCUGCUCUGGAGAUUGAUUUCUCUGACUUUU